rnacentral:rRNA from 1 species
AGGCAUUGCCUGCCCAGUGACUAAAGUUAAACGGCCGCGGUAUCCUGACCGUGCAAAGGUAGCAUAAUCACUUGUUCCUUAAUUAGGGACUAGCAUGAAUGGCUAAACGAAGGUUUAACUGUCUCUUAUUUUUAAUCAGUGAAAUUGACCUUUCAGUGAAGAGGCUGAAAUUUAAUAAUAAGACGAGAAGACCCUAUGGAGCUUAAAUUAAAUAGUUUAACUGUUCAACUAAACAAAUCUAAGGGACUAACAACUACAGUAUAAACUAAAAAUUUCGGUUGGGGUGACCUCGGAGAACAAAAAAUCCUCCGAAUGAUUAUAACUUAGACCUACAAGUCAAAGUAAAUAAUAUCUUAUUGACCCAAAAAUAUUUUGAUCAACGGACCAAGUUACCCUAGGGAUAACAGCGCAAUCCUAUUUAAGAGUUCAUAUCGACAAUUAGGGUUUACGACCUCGAUGUUGGAUCA